CCUGCAGGAUGGAGGAGAGAAGAGAAGACUCAUCAACAGAACAAAUGUUGCUGGAACAUUACUUAUAAUGGCAACAAUUGGAAACAAUCAAAGGAUGUCACUAUAGGGACUUGGGUUAAGAAAAUUAUGACACAUCAAAAGCACAGUGAAGAGAACUUCUGUCAAUCCUGUCAAGCACAUGAAGAUGUGAAGUUUCAACUGGAUUCAUUUCUAUAAAUAAAGGCUACGAGAAGAUCUGGUUAAGAGUAUCCUAAGGGAGGAUCUAAGCCUGUUCAUACUCUACAAGCAAAGAAACAUUAAAAAACAAAACAAAAAACCAAAACUUGAAGAAACGAAGUGACCAGUUCACUACCAUUCAACUAUUAAGGGAUAGAGCCAGGACUCAGUAUCUAGUCAUGUGAUGACAAAGCCCGCACUCUUACUGUACAGCCUCACCUUGGAUAAAUCUCAUUUCAAGACAGGUAAUUUUGAGAAUAUCUUAGGCCCCCCUUCUAUCAAAGAGAGGGAUCGAAUUUAAAAUUUAUCUGGAAUGCCAACUCUGAUUAACUCCCUGGAGAGAGUCCCUGGAGGACUGGUUGAGAAGAACCCUGAGGAUGCAUCAGUGUUCAUCAGGAAAGGGCGCCAACACCCAGCGUGCCCACUCAUGAGCAGGGAGGAGAUGAUGCAUGGGAAUCCACAACUCUAUCUCAAGUUUCCCAGACACACACUAAAGCUCUGCAGAAGAUUUUGGUGCCCCUGAGCUACUUUUACACAGCAAAGAAGACUUCUGAUGUGAUUCCUGGUGGCAGUGCGUAGUAUGCGAUGAUUUCCAUCAGAGUGGCUGGGUUUGUCAAAGCUUUAUUAGAGAUUCCUAUGAUUUGAAGAAAAAGCCAGGGUCCUAUUUUGGCAACUUUUCUGAUAUAAGUAAUAAAAACAAAAUGCCAUGAAUUUAAAUUGUUAGGUUUCUUUUUUACAAAAAGUUUAUACUCAAAAUGUACAAUACCCAAUUACAAGUUGCAUAUGUAUAUAAAAUACCCAAUUAAAAGAUGAAGAAAUAGAAGAAAAUCAACAAAGUCUGUCAACUGAAAUGUUCCUGAAACACCAAGUUUUUGGCCAGGCUCCUAAGACUCCCCACCAGUACAAUACAAACAUUAAAAAUUUUUAAAGCUCAGAAGUAAUUUACUUUUCAGCAGCACCACACGUGAUCAAAACAGGGGGAAGGUUGGAGGAGAAAUAGGCUGUGCCACUAGUUUAUGCGUCUAAACCAAAAUCCAACAACCAUUUCACCUUCCUUGCUAAAGAGAGAAAAGGACCAGGAACUAGCACAGAGUUAACCAUAGGAUUGCUUAUCUGUGAACAAUGAAAUAACAUCAAAAGUGAACUUUCAGCCUUUUUCCAGAGCACCAAUGUCUGGAAAUAUUGCUGCCUCUUAAUCUAUUACCACUCCAACAAGUUAUCUUCCUUUCAUCAUUGAAAAUCUUGAAAACCUCCUGGCGUGGUGGCUCACAUCAGUAAUCUCAGCACUUGAGAGGCCAAGGC
rnacentral:lncRNA from 1 species